GCUUUGAAAUUUAGGACCUGAUAAUUUUUCUCCAUGAUGGAGGCUUCCACUAAGAAAAAAGUUCUUCAGAUUUCAACUUACCACAGCAUUUUGUGGAUUUGCCUGCUCAUCAUGCAUCUCUCGGAUCUCUUGCUCUGUGGACGCAUGGACUUGACUCAGAACACUAAACCACUGGCUGUGGAGAGAAAGGCAGCAGUGGCAGAGCACUCAGCAUCUUCCCAGAUUAAGUCCCAAGAAGUAUUUAGGAGGAACUACGGCUAGCAUAUGAACACACGUAAACCUACUUGGCUGUU